UUUAACACUACAAGCCACGAAUUAAGUGAUCAAUAACCCUGCCCCGCCGUUAAAAAAAAUCUACCAACAACGCACGCACGCACGACUCUCGCCCCCUCCUCCUCCUCCCGUCGGGGCAGUUCCUCCCGCGCGUAGUUCGCCGCGUCGCCGUUCCUCCCGCGGCCGUCAGCCGCCGCCUUCGCCGCCCCGGCUUUCCUCUCGUGGCCGUCAGACGCCGCCGGAGCCGCCCUACCCCACACCCCGCCGGAGCCGCCCCCUUCGCCGCGGGAGCCGCGGGCCGCUGGAGCCGCCCUUCGCCGCCCCGCCGCUCAGCUUGCCGGAGCCGCCCGUCGCCCUACGCCACGCCCCGCCGGAGCCGCCCCCUUCGCCGCGGGAGCCGCGGGCCGCUGGAGCCGCCCUUCGCCGCCCCGCCGCUCAGCUUGCCGGAGCCGCCCGCCGCCCUACACCACGCCCCGCCGGAGCCGCCCCCUUCGCCGCGGGAGCCGCGGGCCGCUGGAGCCGCCCUUCGCCGCCCCGCCGCUCAGCUUGCCGGAGCCGCCUGCCGCACCCCGUUGGUCACGGGAGCCGCGUGCCGCCGAGCCGUUCCUCCACGACCACCACAACCAAGGCAGGGAGCGCUGCUCCAACCUCCUCUCCUAUGACUCCAAGUCUGACGACGCCCGCGACCAGGCGUGCUCCCCUCCAUGAGAUUUCAGGAUAGAAAGGGAGCUUUGGAGAGGGAUCGCAAAGAUCAAGGCUAUUGUGUCAAGUAAUGUGCUGAAAACGUCCAUUGGGUGCAUCCAUCUCGCCCCAGUUCAUCACCAACCACCGUGCAAUUUACAUCCACUGCGAUCAUGGAUGACCCCGUGAGACAUUGUCGUCAGUCCUAUUCUUCUAGAUACAAUGGGUCAGCUAAUACGCCAUUACUAUUUCUCCAAUAUUGUUCAUGAUCUCUUCGCUGCCCCUUGAUGCCGGGCUUGGAGCUCACCUGGCCCGCAUGACCCGGCCGCCUCUCCCACGCCGUGUCUGCCCAGCAGUCGCACUAGGCCAAGACGAGGACAAAGUCAAACCCCAGACAGCGUAGGGACUGAGGCAACAAUUUGUUCAUUUCGGACACUUGGGCCCAGAAAUUAGGAGUUGAGGUUUGCCUCAUUGAGAAGUACUGGCCGGGAGUUCACCUUCACAAUCAACCAGUGAUCCCUUGUACUACUUGAGGGAUCAAGCCGAGAUUUGCCUGUCGGCUGUCGGCUUUUCCUAUAGGGACAAAGCUCAACUGUUGAAUGUUGAUGGUGAAUCGAAGAUAGUGCUUAUUCCAGUUGUAGUUGCGCUCAGUUUCCUUCCAUUCCUUUUACCUGAUAAUUUAUCUCUUCAUUUUCUUUGGUAUUCUAUUUUAUAUGCAAAUUCGUCGAUGCGAGACUUGGACCAUGAAUUUGCUUCAGUUGCUUAUUUUGUAGUAGUAUACUCCUUUGUGACAAUCAAGAAUAUGCUAGCCGUAUUGCCAGCAUUAUAUGUAUAUACUCCAUAUGGUAGUAUAUACUCUGAGAACUGGUGUAUAUACCUUAUUUGUAAAAUAGUUUGUAUAUACUUCUUGCUAACUACUCUGUAUUAUCAUGGUGGGUUAAAUAGUUUUUGGUCUUCUAACUCUCUAGGAUAAUUAGCAUCUUUGUGAGCCUUUUUCAGAUUAAAAUAACCUAUUGAUUUGAUCAAUAGAAUAGAUCUCUCUUUUUAAAUAGUGGUAGUUUCUCCAAAGUUCUACUAAUUUAAUUCAUUAUUUAGGUAUCCAGAUCCAAUAGCCUUGCUGUUUAUAUCUUCUUCUAAUAAAUCAAUUUACAGUGCCACAGUUAAAACAGAUGCAAAUUGAUGUAUUGCUCGAAUUUCAAUCCUGCACUUUAUCUAUGUUGCUUGCUCUGAACUCUGUAAAAGGUACAUUGCACAUGCUGUUCACCUCUUUCUGUACUUUGUUGGUUCUUCUUAACAUUUGUGUUUUUCCUAUAAGAUGACGAAGAGUAAUCCAGACAAAGUUCCACGAACGACUACGCAUCGUUCCCCAUUUACAGACAUAACGAACUCGUCUACCAUUGAUAACGCAAAUGUCACUACUAAUAGUCAACAAUUAGUUCAAUAAAAUUGCUUGGUUAUUGGCACGGUGGUUGCAUCACAGCUGCGAAAUCUCCACUGGCGUAGGAUACAAAGAUAAGACGCUGGCAAGUGGCUGUACAGCUUAUUCUUGUUUACUUGUCUCAGACACAGAUGUAUAUCGCUGUUAAAGGCUGUGACGACGUGCCGUGCUGAUUGAUCAUUAGUUGGACGGGCCUGCUGGGGCUGAACAUUUGACUUUUGACCAGAACAAGUGAUCAGAAGCGCUUCCCCAGUUGGCAUCAUCCUGCAGACAGCGUUUAGGAUGAGCAUCAUCUUAGUGGCGCGCCGUUGUGGGAGGCGCAUGCACUGUGGUGGGCCGAGGUGUGUACUACGUGGGAGACGCGAGGAAAAUGCUCAAUUCCUAUUUUGAGUGAGUCCCACCCAUGGAACCUCAUAAGCCUAAGGCAUUUAGACUAGAUGUCUGGAUUAUGUGGUUGCCCACUUGAUUUCUUCAUUCACUGCAGUUGAUGGUAUGAGAAACAAUAUAUGAAGACUUGGUUAUUUCUUUCAGUUGAGACGUUCAGUGAGAAUUUAGCACCGACAUAAUGAGAGAGGAAUUCAGCCCUGAAGAAAGCACUGGCAAAUGAACCGACAUAUAUUUCAUCACUUGGUUCUUCUAUCUAUGAAGUAGUGUGAACCUGCAUGCCAAGUUUCUUCUGCAUGAGGCAGAUAUGCUAUAUUGCUAUUUGAGAUGUGAUUCUCCUGUCCUUAGAAGCAUGUUCUUUGUCCUAAUUUUCUGUAUGCUCUCUGUUCUUCAGAGAUUAUACUUAAAACAGUCUUGAUUAGAACGAUAAUAAUAAGUUAUCCUUGGAAAUCUGCUGAUCGACAAAAUGUAGUUUUCAGUAGCAUGCCUGUUGAUUACUAAUUGCUAUGGCAUUUUAUUUUCUGAUACAUCUAAAGCGUCCAAUGUGAUUUGCUUCACUGCAGAGUAAUAUGGAUGAAGAACUGAGAGCAGCGUUUGGUCAAACGAUUCAGGUAGGAAACUGGUUUUCGCAAAUGCCCAAAUCGUGGUAAAGGCAGUAAAGGUAAGUUAAGAGUCUUUCGGUUACAUACAGAAUAAAGACUAUAUUUAUGGUGAGUGAUGCGGGAAUUAUUAUGAAUGUGAUACAGAUUCAGGCAUAACCUUUGAUUGGCUACAAUUUAUGUCGAAGAUACAAUGCAGAAGCAUGAUAUGAAUGUGUGCCAACUCAACAAAACUAAAUUUUGCUCUAUGAAUCAUUGUUUAAAGUGAUUCAGUAUCAGUUCAUAUCUUAAGAUCAUUGCACCAUCAAGCAUCUUCCUCGUAGCAUGGGCUGUGGCCAUUUUCUAUAGAAAAAUUAUAGUAACCACGCAUUUAUGUUUCUGUAGUUUGAUUUUAGCAUUUGUUUCAAUGAAUUUGAAGGUACUGGCACAACGGAGUUAUUGUGGUAUAUGCCAGCAUGUUUGAUGCUGUCACACGAGCUGUUGAUAACUCGAUAUGCUAUGAGUUGUCCUUCUGAUGAAGAACUUUUUACUUACAUCUCAAUUUUCAUUGCGUCUGGAGGAUAAAUACUAAUACUAUCUCCUUUGAUCUUUUGGCUGUCCCUCGGGCCAUGAAUGUUCCUACUGGGGUGAAGGAGAACAUUCAGCUCAUGAGGGGGCUUCACAUGGUCACCGAUAUCCAAUGCCUUGAUUGUCGUGAGGCGCUCGUGUGGAAGUGCAAGAUGGACUACGAGGAAUCACAGAAGUACAAGGAAUGGAAGUUCAUAUUUGAGAAGGCAAAUAUUGUACAUGAGAAUUGGUAGUAAAUAAAAAAGUCAACAAUGUGCCAAAAUGCUAUUAUGGAGAUGUGAAUUGUGAUCCCUGCCUUUGUACAUAGCAGUCACCUGUAAGUACCAAUUUGUUGGUCGCACCAUCUUAUUUCGCGUCAUAAUUUACACUUUUGUUUUCUAUGAAGAGACAAAUUUUGUUAAUUUGUCUCGGAACCAUUUUUUGUUCAUAGCUGGUUGGCUUAAGAAUGUUUGAU